rnacentral:rRNA from 1 species
AUUUAGGUAGCGCCUCGUGAAUUCAUCUCCGGGGGUAGAGCACUGUUUCGGCUAGGGGGCCAUCCCGGCUUACCAACCCGAUGCAAACUGCGAAUACCGGAGAAUGUUAUCACGGGAGACACACGGCGGGUGCUAACGUCCGUCGUGAAGAGGGAAACAACCCAGACCGCCAGCUAAGGUCCCAAAGUCAUGGUUAAGUGGGAAACGAUGUGGGAAGGCCCAGACAGCCAGGAUGUUGGCUUAGAAGCAGCCAUCAUUUAAAGAAAGCGUAAUAGCUCACUGGUCGAGUCGGCCUGCGCGGAAGAUGUAACGGGGCUAAACCAUGCACCGAAGCUGCGGCAGCGACACUGUGUGUUGUUGGGUAGGGGAGCGUUCUGUAAGCCUGUGAAGGUGGCCUGUGAGGGUUGCUGGAGGUAUCAGAAGUGCGAAUGCUGACAUAAGUAACGAUAAAGCGGGUGAAAAGCCCGCUCGCCGGAAGACCAAGGGUUCCUGUCCAACGUUAAUCGGGGCAGGGUGAGUCGACCCCUAAGGCGAGGCCGAAAGGCGUAGUCGAUGGGAAACGGGUUAAUAUUCCCGUACUUGGUGUUACUGCGAAGGGGGGACGGAGAAGGCUAUGUUGGCCGGGCGACGGUUGUCCCGGUUUAAGCGUGUAGGCUGGUUUUCCAGGCAAAUCCGGAAAAUCAAGGCUGAGGCGUGAUGACGAGGCACUACGGUGCUGAAGCAACAAAUGCCCUGCUUCCAGGAAAAGCCUCUAAGCAUCAGGUAACAUCAAAUCGUACCCCAAACCGACACAGGUGGUCAGGUAGAGAAUACCAAGGCGCUUGAGAGAACUCGGGUGAAGGAACUAGGCAAAAUGGUGCCGUAACUUCGGGAGAAGGCACGCUGACACGUAGGUGAAGUGAUUUACUCAUGGAGCUGAAGUCAGUCGAAGAUACCAGCUGGCUGCAACUGUUUAUUAAAAACACAGCACUGUGCAAACACGAAAGUGGACGUAUACGGUGUGACGCCUGCCCGGUGCCGGAAGGUUAAUUGAUGGGGUCAGCGCAAGCGAAGCUCCUGAUCGAAGCCCCGGUAAACGGCGGCCGUAACUAUAACGGUCCUAAGGUAGCGAAAUUCCUUGUCGGGUAAGUUCCGACCUGCACGAAUGGCGUAAUGAUGGCCAGGCUGUCUCCACCCGAGACUCAGUGAAAUUGAACUCGCUGUGAAGAUGCAGUGUACCCGCGGCAAGACGGAAAGACCCCGUGAACCUUUACUAUAGCUUGACACUGAACAUUGAGCCUUGAUGUGUAGGAUAGGUGGGAGGCUUUGAAGUGU